GAUGAAGAACGCAGCGAAAUGCGAUACUUGGUGUGAAUUGCAGAAUCCCGUGAACCAUCGAGUCUUUGAACGCAAGUUGCGCCCGAAGCCACUAGGCCGAGGGCACGCCUGCCUGGGCGUCACACGCCGUUGCCCCCCCAUCUACUCCUUCGGGAUUGCGGGGGGGCGGAUGAUGGCCUCCCGUGCGCCUAGCCGCGCGGUUGGCAUAAAUACCAAGUCCUCGGCGACGCACGCCACGACAAUCGGUGGUUGCGAAACCUCGGUUGCCCGUCGUGUGCGUUCGUCGCGCAUCGAGGGCUCGAAAAAAUGCUCGGCUCCGGCUGGGCUUUCAACGCGACCCCAGGUCAGGCGGGGUUACCCGCUGAAUUUAAGAAUAUCAAUAAGCGGAGGA
rnacentral:misc_RNA from 1 species